rnacentral:lncRNA from 1 species
AAAUUUGGUCAAUCAUGUAAAACUCAACGGUGCAAAACAUUUUUACACAAUGCGCUAGAGAACAAGUUUAUUUACUUUUGAACUUUUUCUACAAACAGAAAUUUCUCGCAAUAUUUUUUAUUAAUAAUUGAAAGUCAAGUAUCAAACCGAUACGGAAAUAAGCCCACGUGAAACUCAUAUAUACCAAGGUAAAUUACCGACAGUCAAGAAGUUGCUUUCGACUUCAAGUUCUUCACCAUAUCAUCCCACCUCAGCAAUGAUCAACACCAUUUAGUAACUUCUUCUGAUUUACCCACCUGUCUCCAUCAGUCCAUAUGGUCCCCGCCUUCUUAUCAUGCUCCUUCACGCCUUGUUACUGCUGACAAACAAACCACAUGUAAAUAUCUUACAGUACAUAAUAUAUUUACAACCGCGCUAUGAAUAGAUAACUCCAAAUGUAGCUUUCAGAAUUGGUCAUGCAUUCUCUGUUUUCAUACCAAGAAUGCAUUUUAUAAUUGUACUGAAACCUGUAACUGUAAACAGUUCAGGUAUAGAAAAAAUAAAAGGCCUGUCACAAUAGCCCAGCAUAACUUUGUUUUCGGUUUGCAGGACGAAAAACUGCUAAUAUGGUACUCCAAAGAGAGGGAAAAAAGUCUGAGCUUGAGUUCUGUGUCAAGUGUGGUUCUCGGACAGAAAACGGUAUCUGGUUUUCUUCCCUAAACACUUUUUAUUGAUUUAAGUAUAAGAAGACAUACAUAUUCUUAGAAUGUCUGUAUUUGCAGACAAACCUUUUGCGUUUGCAUUGGCCAGAAAAGGAACAUCACUCCUUGUCAGUCAUAUACAAGAAUGGUGAAUGCUCACUGGACUUGGUAUUUCCUACUAGGCCUGGAAUUCUUGAGUUUAGAAUCUCUUUGCUCCUCGUAUCACCGCCUUUUCUAACAUCUAUUUACAAUCAUGUCUUCCAGAUCUGCAAAGACAAGGACCAAGCUGACUGCUGGCAUCUAGGCCUAACAGCCUUGGUAUCUGCUCUAUAUAGUCCUCUUCUUUUGGUUGAUUCAACAAGCAGCCGUCGGAUAAACAGUUGCGCAAAUAGCCCUCCUAGCUAUAUUCAGCAAAGGAAUAGGCUAUUUUCAGUGCAUGACACAAGAAAGUUCAGCCAGGUUAGAUUUGGAACCUAUGCAUGUCAUGAUUUCUAUGUGAUGUGAGAACAUGAUUACUUUGUUCAAGUAUGAGUUCACCAUGACCUGUGACCUUUCCUAGAUUACGCUAAGUAAAACUUUUGGUUUUCUGUUAAAAUCAGGGACAACCCACUGCUCGGCUCAGGAAAUUGCGAAAUUAAUAACCAACAUGUUGAGCAGUGUUACAAUUCUGGCCAUUUUGAUAAAUUAUCCUUUCCAAAUAUAUAAAUAAUAAUACAAUUAUUAGGUAACACCCAAACUAAUGUAAUGUCAAGUGGGUAAUGAUACACUUUGUGGAGCUGCAUAUUUUUCAUAACUACUCCCUCUGUAAAGUAAUAUAGGACUUUUUAGAUCACUAGUAAUCUAAAAAGUCUUAUAUUACUUUACAGAUGCAGUACUAAAUAAGGUGAUAUCACUGAUAACUUAUGAAAGACUGUAAAUUGCCAUUUCUUAGCCACUAGUAAUUUCAAAUUGUUAAAUUCAACUGAUAACUUAUGGAAGUAUCUAACUAAUUUAUUUAUGAAGGUACACUCACUGUAUGGCAGUCCUAGAUUGAUACAGAACAAAGUAUCGAAGAGCAGUCUGGAUUGCCCAGAAGCAUUCGUCUCUCCAAGGGAGAGAACGUGGUCAGAUGUAGAUUUCUACUUGGAAAGAAUUACUCCUGAAAUGGUAAACAGAGUUAAAAACAGUUUCAUGGAUAUUCCAGUGGCUGCAAAAAUUCAGGAGGGAAUUACCCAAAUGCCUAAACUGAAAGCUUCUGAAGGAUCCCACAUGGCAUGUGGAAUAGAUUCUCUGAAGGACAUCUUUGCCUGGGGAGAAAUUCCAGGCAGUGUGUUGGAGAAUGGAGAUGCACCAAAAGAUAAUGUUUCACUUCCAAGGUUAUUGAAGCCAACCCAGAUUCUGGACGUGCAGAACGUCGC